rnacentral:rRNA from 1 species
AGGACGAACGCUGGCGGCGUGCUUAACACAUGCAAGUCGAGCGGAAAGGCCCUUCGGGGUACUCGAGCGGCGAACGGGUGAGUAACACGUGAGUAACCUGCCCUUGGCUCUGGGAUAGCUCCGGGAAACCGGAAUUAAUACCGGAUAUGACCUCGGCCGACAUCGGCUGCGGUGGAAAGAUUUAUCGGCCAGGGAUGGGCUCGCGGCCUAUCAGCUUGUUGGUGGGGUAACGCCUACCAAGGCGACGACGGGUAGCCGGCCUGAGAGGGCGACCGGCCACACUGGGACUGAGACACGGCCCAGACUCCUACGGGAGGCAGCAGUGGGAAUAUUGCGCAAUGGGCGAAAGCCUGACGCAGCGACGCCGCGUGGGGGAUGAAGGCCUUCGGGUUGUAAACCCUUUCGGCAGGGACGAAGCGAAAGUGACGGUACCUGCAGAAGAAGCGCCGGCUAACUACGCGCCAGCAGCCGC